rnacentral:rRNA from 1 species
ACGGAGGGUGCAAGCGUUAUUCGGAAUUACUGGGCGUAAAGCGCACGUAGGCGGCUUUGUAAGUCAGGGGUGAAAUCCCACGGCUCAACCGUGGAACUGCCUUUGAAACUGCAGAGCUUGAAUCCUGGAGAGGGUGGCGGAAUUCCUGGUGGAAGAGGGAAAUCCGUAGAUUGCAGGAUGAACACCGGGGGGGGAGGCAGCCAACUGGACCAGUAUCGGCGCUGGAGGGCGAAAAUUUUGGGAGCAAACAG